GAUGGCAAUAUUUGUUGAAACUUCCGUACUGAGUCAAUGUUCCUACAAAAGCCUUUUUUGUUGUCUUAGGACUGCUACCACCUCAAGGUGCUUUAUGGUCACACAGUACACUAGAAUUUGUUAGAUAAUGGGGAUUAAGAAAUUUCAAAUUGGAAAAAAUUGCAAAAGAGAACAAAGAAGUUGAAGUUAUAGAAGAAGGUAUUUUUAUAUUAUUUAUGGAAUGUAUUUUUAUAUGUUAAGGCUCCAAAUCUGAUUUUCUUAUGGAGUCUCAUUCCGUUUGCGAUAUUGGGGUAUUUGGCUGGAACAAAAUUGUCGACAUUUUCAGGGUAUAGUUUGGGAUGUGGAUCAUACUUCAUAGUACUCUGGACAUCAAGGGGCUACUUUCCCUUUGGUGUCAGAGAUCGUGUUCUCUUGGGAGUCAGCUAUGUUGGAGACGACGAUUGUAUAGUUUCCCGUGGUUAUCCUAAGCGUUGUGUAAUUUUUUCAUAGUUUGUUUUGCUUUGACCAGGGAUUGUUGAUCGCUAGGCCCUAUUGUACUUUGUAUUUGUAUAAUUGUAUGUUUAUC
rnacentral:lncRNA from 1 species